CCACGCAUUCCUAAUGAGCUGCAGGGACAGGCGGCGGCAGCCUGCCCUUCCUGCUCCAGUCUUGCAGGAGCCUCUGCUGGGCACGCCCCUCUCCCCUCCUCCUCCGCCACCAGAGAAGUGCCGGCUCAAUCCUUCCACGUUUCUAUGUGCAGGAAAGAGAUUCCUCUGUAGCCCAGUUCAAUGCCUAGAGCAGCAGCUCUCCAGGGAUUCCUCAGGCAGAGGAGGGUCAUCUUUCCCCUCACCCAGGGAUUGAGCCAGGGGACUUUCUGCAAAUCAGUCAGAAAGUGCCAACUUGCAACCCAUCCAAGAUAAUGGCAAUGGCAGAAUGAUUUUCAAGGGAUAGAAUUCAGGAGCAGGGCUCACUGUUGCCUGAAAAUGGGGCACGACUUCCUCUGCAGAAGAAAAAUUGCAAGGAAGAAGGAACCUGGAGCAGGACUUGACAUGUACCUGAUCGGCUGAUCUGCUGUGAUGUCAUGGAACCUUCACAAUUCGGCGGGGAAGCCAUCACACAAGGACAAUGGUGGCUCUCAGUCUUCCUCAUCAUUGGAGGACAUUCUGCAAACAAUGACAAGCAGGGUAGACCGGUACCCCAAAGUGCUUGGCUGUGGGUCAGAUGCACUUGGUGGGGCUGGUGGUGUCUCACUGAGAAACAUGGCGAUGUGCAGCUGGCGCUUUUGUCUUUUCCGCUGGUCAGGGCACACUUGGUGUCUCCUCAGCUGGUCAGGGCAUGCUUGGGCAGCCUCCUGCUCCACGGAUGCAGCUUCAACAUGGUUGCCAAUGUUCUUCAGAUUGACACAUCAUUUGAAGCUGGCUCAGAACUUUGCAGGCUGCUUGAAGCGUGCAUACGUGCAUGCUUGCGUGCUUGCGCAAGGUGCUGCCAUCAAUGGGGAUACGCUGGAGAGUCAUGUCCUCUAACCACAGGUUCAGGGCCUCAUGUGCCUUCCCCCAUGGCCUCGUCUCGCACGUACCUGGGGACCUUGGCAGUUGUAGGUGUACUCGCUGCCACUGAUGCCCAGAUUUAUCUCUCCCAUAUCUUAGUGGCACCUAUGCUGGAUUCAUUCCUGCCAAACUUGUGUGCCACAGCACAAAUGCUCAUGCCAUCCUGUAAACAGUCCAGUACUUCCAACUUCUCCUCCAGUCUGGGCCACCACUCGCUGCCUUUUGGGUUUGUCAUCACCUGAGGAAGACGACGAUGCGUGUGUUCAGGUGUCAUCUCAAAACAACAACAACAACAACAAAACACCUCUUCAAAAAAACCUCUCCAAACAACUAAAAAAAAAAAUCUCAAAAAACUCCUCCAGAAACUCCUCCAAACUCCGCCAAUAAUCUGCCAAAUUCUACCACAAUUGCUUCCUCCCUCCCUCAAACUCCAA